CCCAAUAAAAUUAAAAAAGGAAGAAGCGCAUUGUCUAGAAUUAAGAAGAAGAAACGAAGUAACAACCAACGGUGACGAUUACACCAACAAAAUAUAAAAUCUGAUUGGCUGAUAUUAUAGAUCGUCGAGAGAUGAUUGGUCCACGUAGUCUACGGUGACAUAGUUAUGUUUCUUCGUCUACCAUAAAAGGAGACUACUUCACCAUCACCUUCGGGCACUACUU
rnacentral:lncRNA from 1 species